rnacentral:rRNA from 1 species
GUACGGGGGGUGCGAGCGUUGUCCGGAAUCACUGGGCGUAAAGGGCGCGUAGGUGGCCUGAUAAGGGUGUGGUGGAAAGUCCGGGGCCUCAACCCCGGAUCUGCCGUGCCGACUGUUAGGCUAGAGUACUGUAGGGGCAGGCGGAAUUCCGGGUGUAGCGGUGAAAUGCGUAGAGAUCAUGAGGAAGACCAGUGGCGAAGGCGGGUCUCUGGACAGUUCCUGACACUGAGGCACGAAGGCCAGGGGAGCAAACGGG